CCUACGGGAGGCAGCAGUGAGGAAUAUUGGUCAAUGGACGAGAGUCUGAACCAGCCAAGUAGCGUGAAGGAUGACUGCCCUAUGGGUUGUAAACUUCUUUUAUAUGGGAAUAAAAUGUUCCACGUGUGGGAUUUUGUAUGUACCAUAUGAAUAAGGAUCGGCUAACUCCGUGCCAGCAGCCGCGGUAAUACGGAGGAUCCGAGCGUUAUCCGGAUUUAUUGGGUUUAAAGGGAGCGUAGGUGGAUUGUUAAGUCAGUUGUGAAAGUUUGCGGCUUAACCGUAAAAUUGCAGUUGAAACUGGCAGUCUUGAGUACAGUAGAGGUGGGCGGAAUUCGUGGUGUAGCGGUGAAAUGCUUAGAUAUAACGAAGAACUCCGAUAGCGAAGGCAGUUCACUGGACUGCAACUGACACUGAGGCUCGAAAGUGUGGGUAUCAAACAGGAUUAGAUACCCCUGUAGUC
rnacentral:rRNA from 1 species